CUACCUACCUAUUAAAAAAAAUGUUUAUUCUUUCUCGUUUGAUAUGGAGUGCGCAAAAGAAUUGCACGACCUGAUCCCAGCUUUCCCUUUCCGGACGUCCAGGCGCGAGGAGCGAAUGCACCCGUUCGUUGUUAAUAUUCCAUUUGUCCGCACAAAACGAUUUGCCUCAUCUUUUUUGGUAAGGACGAUUAAGGAAUGGAAUGCGCUUCCGUCAUCUGUGUUUCCUGGGAAAUUUGACCUCGGUCUCUUUAAAGCAAGAGUGAAUAGGCUAUUACUUACUGAGCCGGUAAGCUCCAUCAUCUUAGGCUCUGUUUUCACUUUCCAUCAGGUGUGACUAGAGCCAAUGCCCGUUCAGUUUAUUAUAAAAAAUAUAUAUACAAAGAG